rnacentral:lncRNA from 1 species
GUUGAGUGCAGGAAGUCCUGUAUGGCUAAGACAGGUUUUCAGUGUGGAGGGGGGAAGUGGCGUUGGAGAAGACGCACUAAGUCGUGUGGGUGGUGUAAAUCCAGUAUGCGUGAGCCAGUAAGGCAGCCCAGAGCUGUUUUUAUUUUCUGUGGAGAAGAGAGGGGGACACAGAGACUUCAUACACAUGAAUAGCAAUUUUUUCUGAAGACUCUGAAGGAGGGAAUUUACAGCGUUCCCACUGCUGCAGUGUAGCGGAUGGGAAGGAGCGGUUGAGAGGGGAGUUAACAGUCUGAAAGUGGACCGUUUUCACUGAGGCCUUCCUUGCACUCACAGAAGACUGCUCGUGCCAAAUGGGAGUUCCUGUUUGGGUCCCACAACGAUCAACAAGAUCAACAUGAAACAAAAGGCUCCUCCACUGCACCCUCCAGUGGUUGUUCCAGUGAGUCUCCAACACGCAUUCCACCCUUGUCUACCCCCAUAAGGCCUAUAACAACACACUCAAGACACUGUAAAUCAACUGGCUCUUCGAAAUCCCCAUGCCACAAUGUACAGCAAGUCGACGUGGAGUUGAUAAACCAUCAUCCCACAGUGGGGUCCUCUAAGAAGGCAGGCAUCAUCAAACCUAAUGUCAAAUAUUCAGAGACAGACAUAGAUGCGGUGCCCCUGCGCUGUUACAGGGAAACAGACCUUGAUGAGGUGAUGCUGGCAGAACAGGAGGAGGUGGACUCUGCAUUUGGCAGCAACCGCAGUGUGCUGGGCACCUCAGGCACCAGCAGCAGCAGCCCCCUGGAGGGAGUGCUAUGCCCACACACAGAUGGAGAGGAGGAGCUGCAAGAUGAAGAGGUGGUGAGCUGGGCCAGUGUGAGGAUGCAAGGUGACAAAAAGAGGCAAAAUGCCACACCUGAGGGAGAUGAAGUGUUUAGUCGACUGCUGAGAGGGUGAGUGUAGAAUAGAUAACAAUUAAGCACCAUUGUGAAUUCACACACAUAUCCACUAUCCACAAUCCACAUCCACAUCCCAGUGAAUGCAACAGAGGACUUCCACUUGACCAAAAGAACAACAAAAUGAGCAAGAGCUGAUAACUUUAAGAUAUCUGUUGAAGAUUCCUCCAUUUUGAAGACUUUGGGGUAAAUUAGAGCGGGUCUGUAUUCUUGGGAACGCCCAGGAGGGCAGUAAUGGCGUGCAAGGAGGUCAGAAGUUUUGAGAAAAAUACUGUAGUAUAAAUGUACAUAUACAGCUGGCAGAGCAGACACAUGCACACACAAAGACAAACUCAUUCCUGCUGUAAUUGCUCUCAAAAUGCAAACAGCUGUUUUGAUGACAGAUGGUACCUAUAGCUCUAUGUAAUUUGGUCAUUUUGACAUAUUUGAGUAACCAGUUGUUCACUGAAAAUAGUUUUAAUGGGCUUUCUGAAGAUUUGUUUACAAAAAAAGAAUCUACAGUUGAGUAUUUACCACUAGAGAGCAGUGCUGAGCAAUGUGAUUGUACUGAGAUGCCAGCUCACUGUCUUCUAUCUGUUUUGGCUUUGAAUGAGCUUCAGAUACAUUUUCUCUCACAGAUGCCAUUGAUGAAUGUAAUGUGAAUAGUUUUAAAUCAGAGAAAUUGUUUUGAUCAACUGUAUGUAGCAAGCAGUCAUAUAAGGAUGAAGUUCCUAACUAAAUAAGUUCUCAUGACUGCAUAAGAUCCUUCCGGUGCUGUAACUGACCCUAAAUCUCAGGGUCAGAUUUGAGUUUAGGCCUAUAAUCUCUUGCUACUCCUUCCUGUCUGCUGUCAGAAUAAAUCAGAGUGUAGAUCUGAGUCUAUGGGAUUAUUUUUGUGCCAAUAAAAAUGUAUGUAUUUUCACUAAACUUAUUAAAAUAGAAAUAGAAACUGUAUAAAAUGUCUUUAAAUUCUUAAAAAAAAAAAAAAAAUAAGUACAGACGAAAUAAGAAAUAAGAAACUAGUAUAAAAUAGUCUUUAAAUUCUUAAAAAAAAAAAAAAAAAAAAAAAUUGCAGGCAAAAUCUUUGGUUUCAUUUAAUACACUGCAUGUUUUGCUAACUGUUUUCUCCUCUUUCUUUAGCUGAUAUGUACUUACAAAUGCACUUACAGAGUUUUCAUUUACGCUUCUAAAAUAUAUUUUACGCUUUUGAAGUUUUCAUUUAUGCUUAUAAAGUUUUCAUUUGCCAUUCUGGCACAAAUCUCUCGUGGGGGCAAGGAGUGAUGUGUUCUCAUUAGCUACUACUGUAAGUUUUUGAUUGACAUAUUCUUGACCUGGAAAUGAAAGCGUCAGUGUGCAUGUGGGUCUGUUAGAAGCUCUCUGUUUCAUUAUAGUAAUAUAAAAUUAGGAGUUUUUUUAAAAUCUGUAUUUAUCUGCUGCUACUACUCUGAUGACUUAAGCUUUUAGGAGUGUGAUUGAUCAAAUGCGAAAGAAAGUGAAGGUGUAUUGAGGUUUAAUUAGAAGUAUUAUACUGAAAAUAUUGUAUAAUGUCCAAUGUUCUCAAAGGAUAUUUGCUUAUUUCUUAUGAUUAUUUUCUAUUGUAGGGUCUAAUUAGAUUGUGCUGUUACAAUUGAAAGAUAAUACUAUCAUAUAUGUGUGUGUGUGUGUGUGUGUGUUGUUUUCAGACGUCAAGAAAGUCUCACUCCAACAAGGCUAUCAAGGCUGACAACCCUUGCCAUAAUGCAUGUUCACUUUCACAAUUAAUGAUCACCUUAUUCUAAAGAAUUCAAACAAUAUAAAAAUUACAUUUUACAUGCUAUUUUUUUUGCAGGUUCAAUGAAAAUUUAUUUAGUUUAAAUUUUUUUUUUUUUUUAAUAAAUUUCUUGAAAAGUUGCACUCAUUUUUAAGGGCACAAAAAUAAUCUCAUACGAGUCUACACUUGCAAAUAUCAUCAGCAUUUUUAUCUUGUUUUUCAAAAAAAAAUUGAAACCUCCUUAAAAACAUUGAAUUUAAAAUGAUUGGAAUAACUUUGAAGAAAAUUAAUGAAAAGAUAAUAAGACUUGCUGUAUAAAUCUUACAUUAAUUUCUUUAUCACCAGAUUGUUUUUUUUUUCUUCUGUAUGCAAAAUAAAUUUAGAUUUAUGUUGGAUUUCUUAUUUUUUUAAAUGGAGGGAAAACAGAUUGUCAAUUUAUCUUGAUUUAAAUAUUUUUUAUAGUGCAAAUGGUAGAAAAUAUAUGCAUUUGACAUGCUUUAUUUUUUUUGCGUAGGUUACAAUAGUAAAAUUUAUUUAAGUUUUAAAUUUUUUUUUUUUUUAAUAAAUUUCUUGAAAAGUUGCACUCAUUUUUAAGGGCACAAAAAUAAUCUCAUACGAGU